GAUGAACGCUGGCGGCGUGCCUAAUACAUGCAAGUCGAGCGAACGGACGAGAAGCUUGCUUCUCUGAUGUUAGCGGCGGACGGGUGAGUAACACGUGGAUAACCUACCUAUAAGACUGGGAUAAAUUCGGGAAACCGGAGCUAAUACCGGAUAAUAUUUUGAACCGCAUGGUUCAAAAGUGAAAGACGGUCUUGCUGUCACUUAUAGAUGGAUCUGCGCUGCAUUAGCUAGUUGGUAAGGUAACGGCUUACCAAGGCAACGAUGCAUAGCCGACCUGAGAGGGUGAUCGGCCACACUGGAACUGAGACACGGUCCAGACUCCUACGGGAGGCAGCAGUAGGGAAUCUUCCGCAAUGGGCGAAAGCCUGACGGAGCAACGCCGCGUGAGUGAUGAAGGUCUUCGGAUCGUAAAACUCUGUUAUUAGGGAAGAACAUAUGUGUAAGUAACUGUGCACAUCUUGACGGUACCUAAUCAGAAAGCCACGGCUAACUACGCG
rnacentral:rRNA from 1 species